rnacentral:rRNA from 1 species
GAACGCUGGCGGCGUGCCUAAUACAUGCAAGUAGAACGCUGAAGAGAGGAGCUUGCUCUUCUUGGAUGAGUUGCGAACGGGUGAGUAACGCGUAGGUAACCUGCCUUGUAGCGGGGGAUAACUAUUGGAAACGAUAGCUAAUACCGCAUAACAAUGGAUGACACAUGUCAUUUAUUUGAAAGGGGCAAUUGCUCCACUACAAGAUGGACCUGCGUUGUAUUAGCUAGUAGGUGAGGUAAUGGCUCACCUAGGCGACGAUACAUAGCCGACCUGAGAGGGUGAUCGGCCACACUGGGACUGAGACACGGCCCAGACUCCUACGGGAGGCAGCAGUAGGGAAUCUUCGGCAAUGGGGGCAACCCUGACCGAGCAACGCCGCGUGAGUGAAGAAGGUUUUCGGAUCGUAAAGCUCUGUUGUAAGUCAAGAACGGGUGUGAGAGUGGAAAGUUCACACUGUGACGGUAGCUUACCAGAAAGGGACGGCUAACUACGUGCCAGCAGCCGCGGUAAUACGUAGGUCCCGAGCGUUGUCCGGAUUUAUUGGGCGUAAAGCGAGCGCAGGCGGUUUGAUAAGUCUGAAGUUAAAGGCUGUGGCUCAACCAUAGUUCGCUUUGGAAACUGUCAAACUUGAGUGCAGAAGGGGAGAGUGGAAUUCCAUGUGUAGCGGUGAAAUGCGUAGAUAUAUGGAGGAACACCGGUGGCGAAAGCGGCUCUCUGGUCUGCAACUGACGCUGAGGCUCGAAAGCGUGGGGAGCGAACAGGAUUAGAUACCCUGGUAGUCCACGCCGUAAACGAUGAGUGCUAGGUGUUGGAUCCUUUCCGGGAUUCAGUGCCGCAGCUAACGCAUUAAGCACUCCGCCUGGGGAGUACGACCGCAAGGUUGAAACUCAAAGGAAUUGACGGGGGCCCGCACAAGCGGUGGAGCAUGUGGUUUAAUUCGAAGCAACGCGAAGAACCUUACCAGGUCUUGACAUCCCGAUGCUAUUUCUAGAGAUAGAAAGUUACUUCGGUACAUCGGUGACAGGUGGUGCAUGGUUGUCGUCAGCUCGUGUCGUGAGAUGUUGGGUUAAGUCCCGCAACGAGCGCAACCCCUAUUGUUAGUUGCCAUCAUUCAGUUGGGCACUCUAGCGAGACUGCCGGUAAUAAACCGGAGGAAGGUGGGGAUGACGUCAAAUCAUCAUGCCCCUUAUGACCUGGGCUACACACGUGCUACAAUGGUUGGUACAACGAGUUGCGAGUCGGUGACGGCGAGCUAAUCUCUUAAAGCCAAUCUCAGUUCGGAUUGUAGGCUGCAACUCGCCUACAUGAAGUCGGAAUCGCUAGUAAUCGCGGAUCAGCACGCCGCGGUGAAUACGUUCCCGGGCCUUGUACACACCGCCCGUCACACCACGAGAGUUUGUAACACCCGAAGUCGGUGAGGUAACCUUUUGGAGCCAGCCGCCUAAGGUGGGACAGAUGAUUGGG